UACGUAGGGUGCGAGCGUUAAUCGGAAUUACUGGGCGUAAAGUGUGCGCAGGCGGCAAAGCAAGUCGAGUGUGAAAGCCCCCGGGCUUAACUUGGGAAUUGCGCUCGAAACUACUUUGCUGGAGUGUGGCAGAGGAAGGUGGAAUUCCACGUGUAGCGGUGAAAUGACGUAGAGAUGUGGAGGAACACCAAAUGGCGAAGGCAAGCCUUCUGG
rnacentral:rRNA from 1 species